GUGGAGUGUGUGCCGAUUUCCAACACGCGAGACGUGCAGCGGGAGUGUGUUGCUUUGCAUCGCACCACCGCACGAUGCUCGCCCAGUAGUGGGUAGGAAAGAAAGUUCUAUUUUUAACGGAAACCUACACUAGCGCGUAGCCAGCCGUCGGUCGACACGUACGCACUCCGACCGACCGCACGCGGUUAAACGGGACAGAAACUGCUGUUCAUCUUUUCCUCCGUCGCGGCCAAACGUUUUUCGCUGUCCAAGAUGGGAUGGAACAAAAGUAGGACAAAUGAUGGAUCUUUGAGGCCGAACAAAUGAAGCUCUGGCCUGGUCUGGAGUGUUGUGCUCGUGUCGUUUGAAUCGAGAUCGUCAGAUAAAAUAAGCUAGAAGAAUCGCAUUACCACCAUGCGUAUGGGGCGACAGUAAGCGAACGCAAUAAAAUUGCGAUAAAAUAGAUGAGCGAUGAAACAAAAAUGCAGCAAACAGUAGUACUACUAGUAAUGGAUCUCGGUCACCGCAGCCGCCGCAGCCGCCGC